ACCUGGUUGAUCCUGCCAGUAGUCAUACGCUCGUCUCAAAGAUUAAGCCAUGCAUGUCUAAGUAUAACUCUUUUACUUUGAAAACUGCGAACGGCUCAUUAUAUCAGUUAUAGUUUCUUUGAUAGUCCCUUACUACUUGGAUACCCGUAGUAAUUCUAGAGCUAAUACAUGCAUCAAUACCCAACUGUUCGCGGAAGGGUAGUAUUUAUUAGAUAUACAAACCAACCGCUUCGGCGACCUUGGGGUGACUCAUAAUAACUUCGCGAAUCGUAUGCUUCGGCGACGAUGAUUCAUUCAAAUUUCUGCCCUAUCAGCUUUUGAUGGUAGGGUAUUGGCCUACCAUGGCGUUAACGGGUAACGGAGAAGUUAGGGUUCGAUUCCGGAGAGGGAGCCGUGAGAGACGGCUACCACAUCCAAGGAAGGCAGC
rnacentral:rRNA from 1 species